UCUUGUAAUUCCUGAUGAUUGCAACGAUGCCUCUGCUAAGGGGAGAAAUUAUCUCCCCCAGCUCUUAGGACUCCUUCAUAGUUACAGAGAAUGGACUCCAUUCUCUUGGAGAUCGCAUCUCAGGCAGUCUAAAAGUGAUUAUGGAGUAGCAGUACAGCAGCAGCCUGCUGGGCAGCAGCAUUACUGGUGUGGGGAGCGCUGAUGAUCUUGGUUGCCCUCAUUUCCCCGCGGGAAGACUUGCCUACUUCUGAGUGCAGCCUUAAUUAAAAAGCUGGCAUUACUACUAGUGAUGAAGAAAAAAUUUCUCGUGGCUGAGAAACCACACUUUGG